CAGGGUAUAACUAUUUAGAAUAAGUAUUUCAUUUACACUGAAAAAAUAUCUGUGCAAUUCAGUUUAUCUUGA
rnacentral:tRNA from 1 species